GAAAUACAAAAUCCAAUUAAUAAUGUUGAAUUGAAACUCUAUUAAUGUUACGCGCCCAUCUUUCCGGGUUCGCGAGGCCUCAAGAUUUUUCCCUUUUUUGUUAAAACCCUAAUAGGAUUUUUCUCUAAGAAUCAUGGAGCCCCAAUCUAAAAUUUCGAAGGUCGUCCAUGAAGGAGAGUUAUUCAAAACUGUUCGAAGGACACUUCAGAAGCUCUACAACUUGAAAUUGCUGAUUAUUGAGAAACCAUGAAGCUCGUGAGGAGGCGAUACAAGUGGUGGCUGGUGUGAAACUAAACCUCUGGUUGCCUUAAAAGGUAAGUUGACUCUGAGUUCAAAGAUUACUAAACUGUAUUCCAUUUUCUAUUUUGAUGUUUUUUGUAUUUUGUUUCAUUUGUUGACACUUUAUGACGUUGAGUACGUGGAGAAGAUUGAGUUGUUUUUUGGAAAUUUUAGAUGCAAGAAACGCCGCAUCGAACAAGAGGCAGCGGCGAGGUCGCCGGCUCUGGCGCUCGUUGUAAAACUUGUUGAUGGUUACCUUCCGAUGCGAAUCUCAAGCCGGAGAAAUUCUACAAUUUCGCCACCUCUUCCACGUAUCUGCCUUUGGCACGUCUGGUAUCCAUUCCUUUGGCACAUGUCAUGGUGUGUGGGUAUCCUCCUUUCUUUUGGAUCUAUACGAUUUUACCCCAUUUUUAUUUCGUCACUAUGUAAUGAUUGAAAUUUCAUAUUCUUGUCUUUGUCUCUUGUCUAUUAUUGAUAAAGGUCUUCGUGAUAAUAUCAAAGUAAUUUUUUUUUUCUCAUAUUAUUCAAGUUUGCUGUAGCUGUGUGCCAGAUGUAUAAUUUUCUUAUGUUAUGGCUCGUAAAUGAUGAAAAGUUCAUUCCUUUUCUUGGUCAACAUCUUUACUUUGUUUCUUUUUCUUGUAAAUAAUGAGAGAAAUAUACUAUUCUCAUUGUUGUUGUGAUAUUUACUUUUACAUUCUUGAAGGUUGUCGAUGGCACCACGAAUUGCCUGUACCAUCUAUUAGUUUGUAAAAUCAACCACGAAUUGCAUGUACUAUAUCUAUUAGUUUGUAAGAUCAAGUCGUUCAACUUACAAAAGAAAAUAUAAAUUUGGUUGUAUUCAG
rnacentral:lncRNA from 1 species